UGUGAAAAAUAUUUUCCAGCUAGAUUUAAAAUAAGUCUUGUGAUUGUUACCACUGUGUGGCAGUUACUGUGAGAAAUCCAAUGACUCUUCAGUGCAUAUGCACUCAGGACAAAACUCUGCAUGGGUGGAGGGGAAAAUAACUUUUGAGACUGUUUAGGCUAAGUGUUCCACAUAUUAAUGCCAUUUCCUUUAUCUGGACAGGUUCUAUUUGUGUCACAGAAUGGGGUUAAUAGCAGGCUUCCCUUAUGAUCAUGCAGUUAUUCAAGGGUGAGCAAUUUUGUAUUAGAAAAACUUCAAGCGCAAAGCUCAGGGAAAUGUGCAUUUUAUAUUACAUCCAAAAUAAACUGGAUUUUCAGUGCCCCUACAAGGAUGAUAGUUUAUGGAAGAAUACUGACUUUGUGCAGUUUCAUAUUUUAUAUAUCAGGGAAAGAGAAGUGCUUAGCAUUUAAUAAAUAUAUGGACUGACUAUAGGAUACUCUACGGCUCUGAAUUCCCAAAUAAGAAACCAGCCUGCAAAUCUCACACUGUUACCAUCUGGCAAGGGGGAAAUGACCCUGUCAUCUAGUGUAAUGUAGUUAUUACUUUGUAUUCUAUUAAGCCAUCAUUUUUAAUUUGCUCUUCAUCCAUUUUUUUACAGACAAAUGAACUUGCCUAUGAAGUAGAAGUCCCUUUUCUAGAGGAAACCAAUUUAUCUUCUAUCAGCUAUAUAUUUAAUUUAUUGACUCAGACAUUCAGAUUUAAAAAUGUGUUGCUGGAAAGAAAGAAAGAAAAAAAGGCAGGAGAAGAGGAGGAGAAUCACUUUCGGAUUAUCAUGGCAGCACCUGAAGUUUUGUCCCUUCUCUACUUUUUCUGGAGACUGCACAGAGAGUAAAUAGUUGUGAGCUUCAGCCAAAUCUCUUGCAUGAAAAUAAAAUGUGUCAGUUUAGUCGCAGAGCAACUAAAAACAAUAACUGACUAGGUCUACCUCCUUCAGAGAUCACUGGUCUCCAGUUGUAAGAGGUCUUCAGUAGCAGAAAGGACCUCCUGGCAACAAUAGUACAAUACUCUGAUUUCAGAACAGUGUAUGUUGUACUGAGAGCCAUACCUAAAAUAUCUGUGGAUUCUAGAACAGAACGUUCAGGCCUAUUGUCCUGGGAAAACUAAAAAUGAACAAAAUCAAUUUCAUAGAUGGUUCAGAUGUUAAUGCCUACCUUGUGUCUGAGGCAAAAAAUAAACACAGAUGUACAGAUAUUAUUUAACUCAUAUGAAAAAGAAGUCAUUUUCCAACCAUGCUGCAACUGCAUUUAAUGGAAAACUCACAGGUAAUCUCCUCCUCAGUUCUCUCUCUCAAGCAAGAUGAGACAGAGGGAGCACUUCCAUAAUUUCCAUCACAUAAAUUAUCAUAGAAUCCUUAGAGUUGGAAGGGACCCUUAAAGGCCAUCUAGUCCACCUCCCCUGGAAUGAAGAGGGACACCUACAGCUACAUCAGGUUGCCCAGAGUCCUGACCAGCCUGACCUUGAGUGUCUCCAGGUAUGAGGCAUCCAUCUCUCUGGGCAACCUCUGCCAGUGCUUCAUGACCAAGAAGAGAAAGAUGAAGAAGAUGAAGAUGACAAAGAAGACAGAGAAAUAAAAGAAAAAAAAAAAAAAGAAAAAACACUUUGUUGUAGCCCAAGCUGUCUAUAAAAGAAAAAGCAGAGCUGUACAUAAAAUAAAAUGUUACAAAAAAGAGAACAAUCUGCUUUGCAUAAUUUGGCUAAGACUAGACGUAUUAAUAUAGUAAUAUAUAUUACUAUAGGCUAGAUAUAUUAAUACAGUAAUAUUUUCUGAUGGAAACUUUUCCAGAACUAUCAUAAAUCAGUGACAACAUUAAAGUGAGUAUGUCAAGAUAAUUAGGAAAAUGGAGAAUAUUAUUUCCUUAGUUCUAUUAUGCAUUUAUAUUUUAGGAUUGCAUAACUGUCUUUCUAAAUGUAAUCACCCAUGCUCUACAUCAAAUGUACAUAUAUAAGACAUAAACUAUUAACAGAUCCCCAGUUUGUUCAUGGAGUGACUGGUAUGUUAAAAAAGGGUGAUUGGAUUUACUCUUUAGAAAACAACACUCUACUUAUGGAAAAGAAAAGCAAGCCUUGGUAAGUAUCAUGCACUUUAUCUUUCAUAAUUAGUUUUGCUGUCCAUGCAUGGGCAGUUGCAUUUGGCUGUCCCACAUGCAUGCUUCAAGCUGUAGUUCAGUCUCAGCCUUGAGUUUCAGGGAUUUUGACAUGUCGUCGUUUAUCUCCCUACUUUAUGCAACAAGGAAACAUAUUUACAGCCUUCUGACCCUUUGCAUUGUGUCUCUAAGUACAACGUAUAAAUUUAUGUGCAUACCAGGAAUCCCCUUGCAUCUAGUGAAAUCCACAUGUAAUUUUCUGUGCCCAUAUUCCACCAUAUUUUUACAUGAACACAUGGCUUUUAUAACAGAUCCUGCUCAUAAUUUGAGGCCUGCCUUUUUCUGCAAUCCAGCCAUGGAAUGGAUUUUUAUUAAUAGGGCCCUAAGACUUUACACUUGACUUUGGAAAAAGAGCGGGCACUGGUGCCAAGUUUUGAACUACAUGAUCAUAAUUCGGUCUGUUGUGUCACACACAUUCAAAAAGGUAGUUCUAAAAUUCAUGUCCUC
ensembl:lncRNA